AUGGAAACUACUGUGAUUGCAUUGGAUUACAGAGAGAUUCUUUCUCUGAGAGAUAUAAAAGAGAAAGAGGGAAAUCAGGGGAUGAACGUUAUCUGUAUUUUAAAGGAAAAAAGAGAAAUUAGUGCCUCUUUAUUUUGGAAACUGCCCAUUUAUGAUCUUUUAUUUUUUGAUAAAUGCACAAUUCUCAUCAUGCUGGUGGCCUAUUUGGGUGAGGGGAGGAACUAUAUCUACAGCAGAGGGGGGGGGGGCCUCGAGUCAUCAGCUCUCCAUACACAGCAAGCUUUUCUGUUUUCCUUUUUGAGCUCCUUCCCUGUACGAGUUGAUUUAGUGAGUAAGGGAGAGAUAGAGAUGGAGAGAAAGGGGGAGGCGGAGAGGGAGGUGGGUCAGGGAUCGGGGAGUGUGCCGGCGUCCAUGGGGAGCGGUUCUCUGACUAGUUCACCUGGGGGCGAGAAGAUGAAGGUGUCCAGGCAGCCUUGUGGGGAUGGCUCACCACUGGUCAUCGAUUUGGAGGCUGCCAGGAGGGCUGUGAGGGGUUUCUUGGUGGUGGGCCGAUUUCUGUUGCCUUUCCAAGUUCACCCGCAGGUCCUAGUUGAUGACCUUCGUGCUUCGUCGGCUUGGAGGCUGCAAGGCGAGGUCACCGUCCAGGAGGUGGACAGCGACGACGGGAGGUUCAUCCUGAACUUCUCCGCCGACGUGGACAAACGCUUUGUGUUGAAGGCACAACCGUGGCACCAUAAGCGGGAUGGGAUCAUCUUCGCCGAGUUCGACGGCAAGGGUAACCCGGCGGAGGUGGAUCUUGGAACCAUGGCUAUUUGGGCCCAGGUUCGUGAUCUACCGUUUGACCUUAAAACUGAAGAUGUGGGUUCGUCUCUAGGAGGCCAAAUUGGGGAGGUGAUAACCAUCUCACACCAGAACCACAUGAUAGUAGAAAAGUUUUUGCGUGUUCGUGUGAAAGUCCCGCUACACGAGCCAAUUAAGAGUAGAAUAGAAUUCACUCCUCUAGGCAGCAAAGAAAAACGUUACUUUGAUGUUCGUUAUGAAAAGUUGCCAUCAUAUUGUGAGUGUUGUGGGCUUGUAGGCCAUAUGUCGGAAAGGUUCUGUAGGAUUCCUAAAGAGAAUAGAGUAGUUGUUGUUGCAAAAAACCUCAGUGUAGAGGCCUACUGGAAGGGAAAUACAGCUAGUAGAAGAGCUCUUGUGUACUCGGGCUAUAGUAGAAAAAACAUCUCAAAGGCUACUGAAGGUAUGGUGGUCAAAGUCACCAAAGCUGUGAGUGAUCUUACUGUGAAAGAGAAAGGUGCUGCAUCGUCUAUUCUGGCGACUGGACGUCUAGUCCAGGGAGGCCACUUGCUCGGUCAGGAGGACCGGGGGCAAGUACCAUCUCUGCCGGUGCCCGUAGGAGCUGCCUCGGGUCAGGUGGACCUGGAGCGCGGGCCACUCGAGCGCGCUAGCCUUGGCCAGGAGGGCCAAGGACUGGCGGCCAAAAGGGCGCCCAACAAGGGGGCGCUGCAGGUCGGCCAGGAGGGCUGUCUCCCUGUAGCGUCCCAACACUCCAUGCGGGGUGAUGAUCAUGGUCAGGAGGACCAGAAUGCAUCAACAUACACCCCUGCACCCCCUACUAGCGAAGGCCAGGAGGGCCAAGCGCUGGUGGGGGGAGCGGCUCCCACCAAGGCUGCUGUACCUGGCCAGGCGGGCCAGGACAUGUUGCAUCAGGGGAAUAGUACUUCCCCCAUCAGGUCUGUUGCGGCUAUGGCGGCAUACCAGCCUAACCCGGUCGGCCAGGAGAGUAGGACGGCUCUGCAAUGGGGUGAUCAACUCCUCUUUCGCCCGGGGGUGCUGGAGGCGCUGUCGGGGGCUGUUGCUGCAAGACUUGCUACAAAAAAUACCACUGACACCCCUAUUUACACUUUCAAUGCUACAAAGAAAUCCAUGCAGGGAAAGGCAAAAGAAAAGGGCAGGAAAGGAAAGAAGGGAGGAGGAGUUGGGAGUUCAGAGGGAGCACGCAAGAACAUUAUAGGCAAAAAAAAAGAAGCCUCUAUGAAGCUCCAGCAGCUGGUAGUGAGCUAG
rnacentral:rRNA from 1 species